rnacentral:rRNA from 1 species
GAUGAACGCUGGCGGCGUGCCUAAUACAUGCAAGUCGAGCGAACAGACGAGGAGCUUGCUCCUCUGACGUUAGCGGCGGACGGGUGAGUAACACGUGGAUCACCUACCUAUAAGACUGGGAUAACUUCGGGAAACCGGAGCUAAUACCGGAUAAUAUAUUGAACCGCAUGGUUCAAUAGUGAAAGACGGUUUUGCUGUCACUUAUAGAUGGAUCCACGCCGCAUUAGCUGGUUGGUAAGGUAACGGCUUACCAAGGCAACGAUGCGUAGCCGACCUGAGAGGGUGAUCGGCCACACGGGAACUGAGACACGGUCCAGACUCCUACGGGAGGCAGCAGUAGGGAAUCUUCCGCAAUGGGGGAAAGCCUGACGGAGCAGCGCCGCGUGAGUGAUGAAGGUCUUCGGAGCGUAAAACUCUGUUAUGAGGUAAGAACAAAUGUGUAAGUAACUAUGCACGUCUUGACGGUACCUAAUCAGAAAGCCACGGCUAACUACGUG